UUCAUUGCAGAUGCCUAUGGCGAAACCUGACAGUUGGGGCGCCCGCUACCACGAGGCCUUCAGUAAUCCGGAACUGGCGCACGGUCUCGACACCAAUUAUUCGGCACCUCACUACCCGAACGUCCCAGGACUCGAGACAGGCGUGCCCCAGGAAGGCGCCAAGGAUCUCUACUGGUUCUAGACGCAGACGAAGCAUCCUCCGCACCUUCUGCGACCUCGGUACCUGACGAGGAAGGUCAAAAAAGGUCGCCGACGCUGACCCCGAAGUCGUCAGGAGAGGAGGAAGGAGGAGCCUGCAGUGUAUUAUCUUUGUGCCAAGUGAGAGAGACGAGCGACCUCGCGAGACAGUGUGUUUUGCUUCGAGAAAAUACAGUUCGAGUCUCGCAGGCUAUCGACUCUUGGUUAUGGAGUGCCCGUCAUAUCCUCUGAUCGAUAGGAUUUUGGAAGAUGAUAAUGAUACUUGAGAUAUCGCUGAUCGUAUGUUGACGAACGAACUCUGUGGACAAUGUGCUUAUGCAGAGAGUGUAAUUAACGUCAAUAUACACUAGGUGACCGCGUGUGCAAAGCGGUGUCGAAACGGAGACACAAUCACACAACGAAGGUGCUAAUAUGGUGUCAAAAAAUACAAAAAUAUCACGACAAGUAGACUAUAUAUUUUUGUUGAUCACACACACAAAAAAAGAAGAGAAAUGUACAAACUGGAGUUUUUAUUUCACAUUGCUAAUGCUUUAAUCUAUUUUGUUUAGGUUAACUGUACAGUCUGUUCUCUCGGCUGCACAGUGUCCAUAGGAGUACUUUUUAGUUAUGCUGUGCAGUCUGUUCUCAGUUGCAGUAUCUAUAGUUGUACAUUUAGUUGUGCUGUUUUGCUAAUUUCAAGUCAUGAGGAGGAGAUUCCCACACGCAGAAAUUGCUGAGUUUCCACACUGCAUACCAAGGGAUUUUUUUUUAUUCCUUAUUUUUGUUUUUCUCGCUUGAGCUCUCUCUCUUUUUUCUCUUCCUGUCUUGCCUUCUCUUAUUCUUUGGUCCUUCAUCUUUUUUUUUUUUUUAUACUUUAUUGUUAUUUAGUCGGUUUUGUUUUAUGAUUAGGGUAAGCUAUCAGGUGAUUUAAUAAAAGAAUAAGAUUGAAAGACUAUAAUAACGAAUAGAUAUCACACACACACACACACACACACACACACAAACACACACACACACACACACACACACACACACACACACACACACACACACACACACACACACACACACAAUUAAAUAUACGAUGAAAAUACAAACACACACAAAAAUAAAGACCCAAGUAAAACACACAAAUCUAAUAAAAAUGAAAGAUAAGAUUCAAUCCCUUUCUGCCUUAUUAAACAACACGGGGAAUCUCCUUCCAUGGCUCUUUAAUUAAUCUUCAACACUUUUAAUUUAAUUAUGUAGUAGUUUAUGCAACCAAGGACUAUUGACAUAUCAUUUACUAAUUCUGCGGGAAACAAGAGAAACUGAAAUGUUUGUAUGUACAUAUGUAGGCUGUUAUCAUAUAUCUGGGAAUUCUUCUUGUAAACUAAUAUUUAUUGACAUUUUAACACUUCACUCUUUUUAAGUUAUUUAUUAUGUUAUUUUAAGGUACGUGAAUUCCUAGGGUAUAUGAAUAUCUGUAAUGAUGGCUGUAUAAAGUGUUUUUUUUUUUUUUUUCUUUCAUCGGAAUAUCUAUGCAGGAAUGAUAUUCGUUA
rnacentral:lncRNA from 1 species